UACGGGGGGGGCAAGCGUUGUUCGGAAUUACUGGGCGUAAAGGGCUCGUAGGCGGCCAACUAAGUCGGAUGUGAAAUCCCCAGGCUCAACCUGGGAACUGCAUCCGAUACUGGAUGGCUUGAAUCCGGGAGAGGGAUGCAGAAUUCCAGGUGUAGCGGUGAAAUGCGUAGAUAUUGGGAGGAACACCAGUGGCGAAGGCGGCUCACUGGACCGGAACUGACGCUGAGGCGCGAAAGCGUGGGGAGCAAACAGGG
rnacentral:rRNA from 1 species